ACGCCGCGUGAGGGAUGAAGGCCUCUGGGCUGUAAACCUCUUUUAUCAAGGAAGAAGGUCUGACGGUACUUGAUGAAUAAGCCACGGCUAAUUCCGUGCCAGCAGCCGCGGUAAUACGGGAGUGGCAAGCGUUAUCCGGAAUUAUUGGGCGUAAAGCGUCCGCAGGCGGUCUUGUAAGUCUGUCGUUAAAGCGUGGAGCUUAACUCCAUUUCGGCGGUGGAAACUACAAGACUAGAGUGUGGUAGGGGCAGAGGGAAUUCCCGGUGUAGCGGUGAAAUGCGUAGAUAUCGGGAAGAACACCAGUGGCGAAGGCGCUCUGCUGGGCCAUAACUGACGCUCAUGGACGAAAGCCAGGGGAGCGAAAGGGAUUAGAUACCCCUGUAGUCCUGGCCGUAAACGAUGAACACUAGGUGUCGGGGGAAUCGACCCCCUCGGUGUCGUAGCCAACGCGUUAAGUGUUCCGCCUGGGGAGUACGCACGCAAGUGUG
rnacentral:rRNA from 1 species